rnacentral:rRNA from 1 species
CUUGCCUACGGGACGCAGCAGUGGGGGAUAUUGCACAAUGGGGGGAACCCUGAUGCAGCGACGCCGCGUGGGUGAAGAAGCGCCUCGGCGCGUAAAGCCCUGUCAGCAGGGAAGAAAAUGACGGUACCUGAGUAAGAAGCCCCGGCUAACUACGUGCCAGCAGCCGCGGUAAUACGUAGGGGGCAAGCGUUAUCCGGAUUUACUGGGUGUAAAGGGAGCGUAGACGGCAGUGCAAGUCUGGAGUGAAAGGCGGGGGCUCAACCCCCGGACUGCUCUGGAAACUGUCCGGCUGGAGGGCAGGAGGG